GUUCUGCUAUGAUGAAUUGAUAUUUCCAUUCCACAUGUCAGACUUUGGAGACAUUGUUGUCUAUGAGAAAAAAAAAUAUCAUUCCCUGAGCAGUUC